UCCCAGACUCCUACGGGAGGCAGCAGUGGGGAAUAUUGCACAAUGGGGGGAACCCUGAUGCAGCGACGCCGCGUGGGUGAAGGAGUACUUCGGUACGUAAAGCCCUAUCAGCAGGAAAGAAAAUGACGGUACCUGACUAAGAAGCCCCGGCUAACUACGUGCCAGCAGCCGCGGUAAUACGUAGGGGGCAAGCGUUAUCCGGAUUUACUGGGUGUAAAGGGAGCGUAGACGGCGAUGCAAGCCAGAUGUGAAAGCCCGGGGCUCAACCCCGGGACUGCAUUUGGAACUGUGUGGCUGGAGUGUCGGAGAGGCAGGCGGAAUUCCUAGUGUAGCGGUGAAAUGCGUAGAUAUUAGGAGGAACACCAGUGGCGAAGGCGGCCUGCUGGACGAUGACUGACGUUGAGGCUCGGAAGCGUGGGGAGCAACCAGGAUUAGAUACCCCAGUAGA
rnacentral:rRNA from 1 species